rnacentral:rRNA from 1 species
CGGCGUGCCUAACACAUGCAAGUCGUACGAGAAAGUUGGCUUCGGCCGAUGAGUACAGUGGCGCACGGGUGAGUAACGCGUGGAUAAUCUGCCCUUAAGUGUGGAAUAACGUACCGAAAGGGUGCGCUAAUACCGCAUAAUGCCUGGCAACAUAAGUUGUCCGGCCAAAGAAGGCCUCUGCUUGCAAGCUUUCGCUAAAGGAUGAGUCCGCGUACCAUUAGCUAGUUGGUGGGGUAACGGCCUACCAAGGCGACGAUGGUUAGCUGGUCUGAGAGGAUGAUCAGCCACACUGGAACUGAGACACGGUCCAGACUCCUACGGGAGGCAGCAGUGAGGAAUAUUGCGCAAUGGGGGCAACCCUGACGCAGCAACGCCGCGUGUGUGAAGAAGGCCUUUUGGUUGUAAAGCACUUUAAGCGAGGAGGAGGAGCUCUAGAUUAAUACUCUAGAUGCUUGGACGUUACUCGCAGAAUAAGCACCGGCUAACUCUGUG